rnacentral:tRNA from 1 species
GGUGGCUCAGUGGUGGAGUACUUGCCUUGCAUGCAUGAGGUCCUGGGUUCGAUUCCUCAGCACCA